UUUUAAGCGUAGUUUUAGUCAGCAAUAAAAUAAGAGAAAAGCUAAGGAGAAACGACUACUCCCAGAAUCCUUCUUGCUGCUAGGGAAUAAAGUAUCAACGAAAGACGGUUGCUGAGAUUUCAGGGAGAGAAGUAUUUGAUUCCCCAUUAUGAGGUUCCCUGAAAUGUUACACAGAGAAAUGUAUGGCUGCAGCUGUAAUGGUUUGACUUAAACAGCUGGAAAAGAAGUUGGCAGUUUUGAAAUGAGCUAAAUGGAAGUUCAAGCUACAUUUGAAGACUUUAGAGCUUGAAGAAAUUUGUAAGCCUGUCUCUUCAGGUAACUGAAGAGUUUUAUGCUGGUAUAGUACUACAGAAAGGUGAACAAUCCUGAUGUGUCAUAGUUUCCUCUGGACAAGACUUUUUGACAGAAUUGGACCUCUACCUCUUCUCCUGAGCAAUUCAGUUUUAGUUGAUAUAAAUCUGUACAAAUCUAGCACAGUGUUUUGGACUUUUGUAUUUCUUAGCACAGGAGAAUGAUUGGUAUUCACAUGAUGUACAAUAGGAAGAGCAGACUGGCCUCUUGGAUUGGAAAAUUUGAGCUCAGACACUAAAAUGACAAACUUUAUGCCAACGUUUGGCACUGUUGCAUCUUGCUUUCUGAUUUUUCUUUUUCUGAAAUUGUUUGAAAAUGUCCAGAAAUAAUGUACUGGUACCAUAAUCAUCUCAGAUAUGAAGCUUGUCUUCAGCUGCUUCCAUGAGCAGUAAGUAGUCCCUAAUCAGUUGGCCUAUGCAUUGCUGUAUAUGGACAGACACCAAAUGUAAGAUCUCUGUUCAGUGUUUCGUUCGACAGCGUGGAUGUUUGAAAAAAUCAGUAAGUCAUGGAUGGAGAUGACAGCCUUCAAAUAGAUCAAACAGAAAAGGCUGCAGACAGACUCCCUGCUGAAUCUUGGCAAGACCAGGAUGUGAACAACUGUAUAUCCCUUGCAAAAUCUUCUCCU